GAUGAACGCUAGCGGCAGGCUUAACACAUGCAAGUCGAGGGGUAUGGUUCUUCGGAACCAGAGACCGGCGCACGGGUGCGUAACGCGUAUGCAAUCUGCCUUUCACAGAGGGAUAGCCCAGAGAAAUUUGGAUUAAUACCUCAUAGUAUAGCGACAUCGCAUGAUGAUGCUAUUAAAGUCACAACGGUGAAAGAUGAGCAUGCGUCCCAUUAGCUAGUUGGUAAGGUAACGGCUUACCAAGGCAACGAUGGGUAGGGGUCCUGAGAGGGAGAUCCCCCACACUGGUACUGAGACACGGACCAGACUCCUACGGGAGGCAGCAGUGAGGAAUAUUGGUCAAUGGGCGCAAGCCUGAACCAGCCAUGCCGCGUGCAGGAUGACGGUCCUAUGGAUUGUAAACUGCUUUUGCACAGGAAGAAACACUGAUUCGUGAAUCAGCUUGACGGUACUGUGAGAAUAAGGAUCGGCUAACUCCGUGCCAGCAGCCGCGGUAAUACGGAGGAUCCAAGCGUUAUCCGGAAUCAUUGGGUUUAAAGGGUCCGUAAGGCGGUCUGGUAAGUCAGUGGUGAAAGCCCAUCGCUCAACGGUGGAACGGCCAUUGAUACUGCUGGACUUGAAUUAUUAGGAAGUAACUAGAAUAUGUAGUGUAGCGGUGAAAUGCUUAGAGAUUACAUGGAAUACCAAUUGCGAAGGCAGGUUACUACUAAUGGAUUGACGCUGAUGGACGAAAGCGUGGGUAGCGAACAGGAUUAGAUACCCUGGUAGUCCACGCCGUAAACGAUGGAUACUAGCUGUUGGAAGCAAUUUCAGUGGCUAAGCGAAAGUGAUAAGUAUCCCACCUGGGGAGUACGUUCGCAAGAAUUGAAACUCAAAGGAAUUGACGGGGGCCCGCACAAGCGGUGGAGCAUGUGGUUUAAUUCGAUGAUACGCGAGGAACCUUUACCAAGGCUUAAAUGCAGACUGACCGAUUUGGAAACAGAUCUUUCGCAAGACAGUUUACAAGGUGCUGCAUGGUUGUCGUCAGCUCGUGCCGUGAGGUGUCAGGUUAAGUCCUAUAACGAGCGCAACCCCUGUUGUUAGUUGCCAGCGAGUCAUGUCGGGAACUCUAACAAGACUGCCAGUGCAAACUGUGAGGAAGGUGGGGAUGACGUCAAAUCAUCACGGCCCUUACGCCUUGGGCUACACACGUGCUACAAUGGCCGGUACAGAGAGCAGCCACUGGGUGACCAGGAGCGAAUCUAUAAAACCGGUCACAGUUCGGAUCGGAGUCUGCAACUCGACUCCGUGAAGCUGGAAUCGCUAGUAAUCGGAUAUCAGCCAUGAUCCGGUGAAUACGUUCCCG
rnacentral:rRNA from 1 species